AUGAAUCCACCAAAGUUUGAAAACUAGAUUUGGCCAACGUGUUUGACUAUUUGAGAACAUUCACCCUAGAUAACUUUCAAUUUAAAAACGUGUAUAAAUAUUAAACACUACUUCCUAUAUGUAUGCUAUCACAUAAGAAACUGGGGUUACCAGUUUUCACAACCUAGGCAAUUUGUUUCAUUGAAGCUAAAUGAUUGAAAUUGUAACACGCAUUGAUUAAAACUUGGUGUUGCCGCUAUUUGAUCAUGGGUGUAGACUGUAGAGGUAAUCUCUGUAUAGUUGUCAAAACAUAAAUUCGUUCGAAUUGUCCUAAGACUAUGCGGUAUGGGGUAUGUCCCCACACCGUCGAGGACCGUUGCCGGCCAGAACACCAUCCCGCCCCCCUCCGUCCCCGUCCUCACCGGCGAGUACUUGACGUUGGAGAGGUAAUCUCUGUAUAGUUGUCAAAACAUAAAUUCGUUCGAAUUGUCCUAAGACUAUGCGGUAUGGGGUAUGUCCCCACACUGUCGAGGACCGUUGCCGGCCAGAACACCAUCCCACCCCCCUCCGUCCCCGUCCUCACCGGCGAGUACUUGACGUUGGAGAGGUAAUCUCUGUAUAGUUGUCAAAACAUAAAUUCGUUCGAAUUGUCCUAAGACUAUGCGGUAUGGGGUAUGUCCCCACACCGUCGAGGACCGUUGCCGGCCAGAACACCAUCCCGCCCCCCUCCGUCCCCGUCCUCACCGGCGAGUACUUGACGUUGGAGACAGGCGCUAAAUGCCAAAAAUUUGUGAGGAACGAUGAUUA
rnacentral:lncRNA from 1 species